UCAAAACGCGAAUUGUUAUGAAAAUAGUAGCGAUUCUAAUUUUUCCGAAAUAAUUUUCAAUUAUUUCGCUAUUAGUUUUCACGUUACGUUUUAUUUUUUACAUUUUUAUUUAUUUAUUCAUCGCGAUGUGCUUUUUUAAAGUGGGAGUGGAACGUUAAACGCGAGUUAUGAUUGCAGUUGUUCCUUUUUGUUUUGUUCGCAAAUUUUGUAUUUUGGUUUAAUUUGUAAUGGAAGAAGUGAGGCAGUUGGUGCAAGAGGAAGGCAGGGAGGCGAGGAACCUGGUGGCCUUCCAUGUUGCGGUGGAUACUCCAGCGGCGCUGGGUCGCGCGGCGCGGCGUCCGCCGCGUGCGUCGUGCGGGCCGCGGCGCGGGGCGGGGCGCGCGGGCGCGCGGCGCUCGGCGUCGGCCGGCCGCGACAAGCGCUCCGAGCUGCGCGCGCGCUACUGGGCGCUGCUCUUCGGGGAUCUGCAGCGGGCGAUCGGAGAAAUCUACAACACCGUUGAAGCUCACGAGAAUCAAAACGAGUGCCAAGAAGUAAUUCUAGUUUUGGAAAACUAUACGCGCGAUUUUAAAGCCCUAGGCGAAUGGUUUCGCUUGAAAUGGGAGUACGACAAUACUCCCCCUCCUCAGAGGCCGCAGAGCCUAGCUUGGGAGAUACGGAAGACUGAUUUUGUGCGACCAGAAUCUCGACGAGCUUACUCUGUCAAGAGUUCUCCAUCUGUAUCCGGCAAAAACAGCCCAUGUCUCUCCGGACACAACACUCCAAGUGGCAAAAACAGUCCCGUCACCGGCAAAGCCAGUCCGGGAAGCGGGAAAAUCAGUCCCAGAGUGCCAGCGUAUUCCAGCACUAGCCCAAAAGCCAAUAUUGAGUUUUUCAGCAAUAAAAUUGCUUCAAAAAUCACUACAAAACCAGAGCCAAAAGUUGCUAAAGAGACCAGACUUUCGGAUAUAAAAGAGAAAGAUAUAAAGGAGAAUUGUGAAGACAAUGACAUCGAUAAGGUGAUUGUCAACGAAAACGACGCUGAGACAAAACCUGCAGUUGAGCUUGGCAAAGCUAAGGAAAGUCCAAAUGUCAGCCCGAAACCAGUGGUAAUAAAGUCGCCUAAACAUGACAAGACACAAGCUAAACCCGAUUCGACUCAAGAAAUUUCAAUUCAUGCAAAGGUUAUUAUCGCCAGAUUAGAUGUAAUGGAAACCGAAUUUUUGAAUAAACAGCUGCUCGAGAAUGCCGUGAAGAACGACAAUUUAUUAAAUCAAGAUAAAGAAUCCGAGGAAAUUAUUGAAAAUGAUUCCAAAAUGGAAUCUAAUAAGACUGAUGUAACUUUGAAGCCGUCUGAAGAAAACGACGGUAGCGUUAGUGACUCGCCAGUAAAAUCUGAAGACAAUUUUGCCGAUGUGUCAAAUGAUAGUUCUCCUGGUUCGAAUAACGAAGAAAAAGAACUUACAAUUGCUAACGACAAAACGGAAUCUCUAGAAAAAACUUUAAAGACACCAUCUCCAGAAUCUGGUGAGAUAGACGACAUCAAAGAGAAAGCAAUUCCAGAAAAAAAUAUAAAGGAACCUGAAGCCGUAAAUGACACUAAAGAAUCAGUCCUAACAAAAAAGACUUCAGAACAAACAGAAGAUAAAGAAGAACAAGAUCCCAAAAAAGUAGAACCGAAAAUUGCUAAACCUGCUGAAGUAAAACCAUUAGAAGUUAAAGCCGCCACAAGACCGGCGUAUUCUCAAGCCGCGGCUAAACCUAAAGUGGUUACAGCCAAGCCUGAGGUCAAGCCUCCUAUUCGUACAAACACGCCAAUAGUGCGAAGCAAGACGGUUAUGGAAAUCCCUAAUACGGUUCCGAAGACACGUCAACCAUUUCCUAGGAGAAACCAGACUAGCAAAUGCAGCUAUCCUUUUAACCUGACUACUGGGAGGACAAGCUUAUUUGACACAACGCCUUCAGUCAAAGUUGGCACUAAAAAACCCAUCACACGACCCGGUUCGGGCGAUGCUAAACUUGGACAAAACAAGAUAGAUCCCAAAAAACGUCCGCCAAGACCUUUAACUUUGAAAGUCAAUGAAAAGGGUGAUAAGAAAGACAAACCGAAUCUAACUCUGGAGAAAAUUAAAGAUUGUGAUGAAUAUAGCAGCACGGACACUAUCGUCACUCAAAUCGAUAUGUCUAGAAUCGAGUCUAGUGAAAGUCUGAAGACUCUGGUUCCUGAAGAAGGGUAUAUGAGCCAUGACGGGGCGAAUUCUGUCGAGGUAUUAAACGUUGAUAACAUUAGGAGUGACAAUGAAGAAUGGUUGACUGUGAAGUCUAGGCGGUUGAGUCGUGAAUCGAAGAAGCAAUCCAAAUCGCACUGGGCCAAUCGGUUCCACCAGCCAUCAGCUACAACAAGCCUACCUACACUGAACAUGAUGGAGUCUCCUAAGCAGGAGGCUAAUCCUAUAAUAAAACCAGAUGAACCUAAAUUCGACAGAGCCAAAUCGGAGCAACCUGAAAAGGUAACUAAACCGGUCAAAGUUAAAAUGACUAAGCCUAAAGAGAAGGCUAAAGACCCGGCGAUAAUUCGCCAGAAAUCUGAUGUCACAGGACUCAAAACUCGAUCGGCCAAAAACAAGGUUACUAAGAAAUCCGAACGAGGGAAGGGUGCUUCGAAACUCGAUGGAGAGUUGACUAAGAGUCGACUUCAUUCAUCGCUAGAAAGCCUGACCACUGGUCUGUCAAGAUCACAAGAAAGCACUGAAGACGUAUUCGACUUCGACAAAUGGAAAGAGGAGUUCAAAUCCCGCUUCAACUGUUUUGACGACGACGAUCAAAUUUCGAAUCACAAUGAGAUUUUGAAGUCUGCUGAUCCGUCGGAAAUGUCGGAGAUAGCGGAGAUGACGUCACAGAUCGAGGAGAAUGAGAGGAAGAUGAGCUUAGCACUCGACUUCCAGUCGGACGCUGAUCAGAGGAAGCUCUGUGCUGAGGAAGAUCUCCUCAACAGACAGAUCUUAGAGCUACAACAGGUGUCUGAUAUAGAUAUGGAUACCGAAACUGAUGAUACUGAGACAGACGCAGAAAUCCUCUGCGAAGAGACCAACAUAUCGGUGCCAUCUUGUCCGUCCCCGGAGAACCUGGGCCCGUUGGCUGCCAGUCUAGAGGACCAGUACGAGACCGCUCUAGCCGGGAUGUCCUGGGCCGAGAGGGUCGAUACUCUUGUUGUGCUGGAGGCUUUGGUGGCUAGAGAUCCGGGACGAGCCCAGCAGCUGCACGCGAAGCUGUCGCAGGGAAUAAAACGUCGCGGCAGCUUACAGGACGCUUUGCGAAGAUUGCAAGCGAAGCAAGCGCGGGCGGAGAAGCAGCGUCAAGAGUACCAGACUGAACGAGCCAGGAAGAUACACCAGCUGCUGGCCAGGGUUGAAGAAGUCAAGGUUGCCAAAAACCAACUGAUUGAAGAGAAACGGUUAAGAUUAGACAGAAGGCUUCAGAAGGCCGCUGAAAAUAGAGACCAACAUUUGAAGGAUAUAGUUCGCAAAGCCCACGACGAGGAAGAGAAGCUCCGCGAGAUAGCGUUCAUCAAACAAUUGGAGGCGGAGAACAGACGACACGACUUUCUGGACCAGUGUCGAUCACACACCACGCGGCUGCGGCAAAUGAGACGUGACCGCCUUGAGAAGCUGGAGCAGAAGGCGGCCCGCGAGGCGGCGGUGGGCGCGCGGCGGCGGGCGCUGGAGGCGGCCCGCGGGCUGCGCGUGCAGGCGCUGCUGGAGCGGCGCCGCCUGCGGGACGCGCGCCGGGACCAGCUGUGGGAGCAGCGGCGCCAGCAGCGCGGGGACGCCGCACGGGAGAAGGCGGAAGGCGUGAAGUCCCGCCUGUCAGCGCUGGCGGCGGCGGCCGAGCUGGAGGCGGACGCGCUGCGCGAGCGCAUCCGGGACAAGCAGGACGCCAGCCAGAUGCGGCUCGAGUCGCACCUGCAGGCCAUCAGGGAGAAGGCAACUGGGCCGAGGCAGGCCACAACAUCAGAGAGUCAAGACCAGUCCACGAAAGAGGAGAGGGAGUUACAAGAAGAGGCAGAGAGAGCGGAACAGGAGAGGAAAGAGAGGGAAAAACAGAAGGCUAUCAAAAAGAGAGCAAGGAAAGUCAAGCAGAAGUUGUUGACCACCAGCUGCGACAUUGCUUUCUCCGACGAUAACUUGCCAUUAGAGGCAGUAUUCCCGCCAUCACACAAGAUGUUCAAGGUCAUCCAGCAACUCACCAACAUACUCUCGCCACUCCUCGACACCGAGCCUGGCAGGAAACACGACGACGAAGACGACGUCGACAAAAACAACAAGAAAAACAAAAAUAAAAAUAACAACAAAAUUGUUAACGGAAACGGUGACGUUGCUAACGGUCACAGUGCAAACAAGAAAACCAAAAAGCAGAAAUCUGAAGAGAAAGAAACAAUUGAAGCGGUUAAUGUUAACACAGAGAAUAAUGUCGAGAACAAUAAUAAUAUGAAAACUGAGGUUAUAAUAGAGAGUAAGGAUAUAGAUACUGCGAACGGUGACGUAAAGAACGAAGGAGUUCACAAUAAAAAGAAAAUGAAAAAGAAUAAAAACAAAGAUGAUCACAAUAAGAAUAGUGACAAGCCGAAACUAAGCAAAACCAGUUCAGUUUGUAGUUCACUCAGUGAUAUGAGCAAGACUAGUUGUAAGAGUGACAAGAAAUGUCGGGUGAUCAUAGAUACCGCGUACCUGGACAGGCAGUUGAACGAAUUGCACAGGAUGAUGGAGAAAUUCGAUAAGGGCGCCAGAGACAAGAGCUUGGCGCAGAAGAUGCAUGGCCUCAAGGCGCUGGGGCAGCUGCUGGCGGUGGCCGCCGAGAGGGACGACCUGGCGCCGCAGCUGUCGGCCAAGACCCUGACCACAGCGGUGAUGAUAAUAUCCCGGGUGAUAGCCAACUGCUCGAUGAGCGCCGCCUACUUCGUCACCACCAACAGCUGCGUGCACGCUGUCAAACUGCUUGCCGACCGAUUGGACAAGGACCUCCAGUCGGAGCCGAAGGAGUUGGAAGUGUGCAAGCAGGUGUCGGACUGCCUGUCCAUCGCGCUGGACUCGGUGCUGUGCGCCACGCGCAUGCGCGAGAGCGGCGCCGCGCCCGACGCGCUCGACGGACAGCUGCUCAGUGCGCUACGGGGGCGGGCGCAUGCGCUGCUCAGUUACCUGUGCCUGCUGGGCUGCGUAGCGAAGGCAGAGAAUGCUGGUGAGGCUCGCGAGAGUGUGCACACCCUGCUGACCGUGUCGGCAGACUUAUGCCAUCCUUGCGAAGCUGAUGAGGGUCCUGAGCGAGCAUCAGCAACGCAGUCACUCCGCUGUGCGCUUGGGACGAGCAUAUGCGGCGCUAGAGCUGAAUUCUGCAUGCUGUUCGCAAAGGAUACCGAUAUAGAAGAACAGUGCGGAGACUUCGUACGAGCGGCAAGAACUGCACAUCUGCUUAAAGCCGUUGCUGAGAUGGACUAUCACAUAGUUCAGGAGGCGUUCGGCGAAGGUGGGUGGCCGCUGGAGUUCCGAGCUGCGGUGUCACGGCUGCUGUCUCAACACGCGCCCAACGACAGGGAGUCACCUAGAAAGAACAUGCUGCGUCUAAGCAACCGGCGAUUGGACCAGACCCUGUCAGAGACGAUGGUGCUGGACCUCAUCGUACUCGUUGGCUUCGUCGUCGUCAACAACGCACAACUACAGGAGACGAUCUGCUCGGGCUGGGGCGCCAUCAAGACGCUGUGCACGCUGCCGGCCGCGUGGCUGGUGUGCGCGCCGCACCGGCACGCGCUGCUGCCCGCGCUCAUAGCGCUCGCCGACCACCCGCCCGCCGCCGCCGCGCUCGCCGCCGACCUCAGCACUGCGAUGCUGGAUGAGUAUUUAGAAUCACCAGAAGCUCAAAAAGUUAAAUUGGUUCAAGUUAUCAAACAAGGGAGGGCCAAGCGAUGUACCGGUAAGAAGUAACCAUACCACAAGCAACGGUUGAAAUGUUAUUCACAAGACAAAUACUGAUCUUAACACACAUGUAUACUAUCGUAUUGAUCACUUUGAGAGUCACUUUUGGAAUUGUUCAGAGUGAGAGUGAGUGAGUGAGAUAUAUAGUGGGGGUCAGGUUGUGACUUGGUGAAACCCCCCGAUAGUAAGAUAGUUAGGUACGUGAGAUAGCAUUUUGCCUAUGCCUUUCAGUUGACCUAUUCUUGUAUGGGUCUUCAAUACUUUACCCCACUAUGAUUGCCAAAGAUGAGAUUCAUACUUUUAACUGCCAUCUUUGAUUUCAGAAUUUAAAAAAGAAUAAAGAAUUAAUUACAAAAUAUACCUAUCUCGCUCACACACUCAGGUCGUAACAGAGCUAUACGAAAAGUAACUUUCAUAGUAUAUCUAUACUAGAUUGAAGUUGGAUGAAGUUUUGACCAGAAAAUGUCUUAAUUUCCAUUAUUUUUUUGGUAGGAAUCUGUUAAUACUGUUUCUAUAUAGGUUCGAUUGUCAGUCUGUUCAAGUGUAUUUUGUCUUAGAAAACAUUCUAUACAAUUAAUUUCCUGUUAUUAAACUUGGGGGGGUUAAAAAUGGCACAUAGAAGCAAUUCAUCUAAAAAGCAAUAUAUGCGCACACGUAACGUAACUUUUAUAUGCGCAAAUGUCAAAUUGCUUUUUAAGUGAAUUGCUUCUAUGUUGCCUUUUUAACCCUCCUGUCGAUAUUCAAUAACAAAUACAUUAAUUUGAUUAUUAAUACUUAAUUUUGAUCAAAAUUUCACCACCUUCGUAAUCCGGGACAGACAAGCAGGACUUAUACACUAAUGUUUGUAAGGGUGCGGGCAUUUAUAAGCGGGGCGAUUAGCGGAGCGUUUAUUAUAUUGUCACAGAUUAUAAUCAUUGGUGUUGUGUACAACUUGCUUUCUCUAUGUGUGAUCUGAUCAAUUUCCAAAGGCAUUAUAUAUUAGCCUAUAUAUUUGUGUCUUAUAAAAUAUAAGCUUAUUUUCCUAUUAGUAAUUAAUGCGAAGGAGAAAGAGGAUGGCCGACUACUUGGAUUGUGAAAAAAAAAGGUAGGAGUCAAGUAUAAUUAUUGCAGUGCGAAUAAAGAUCAAACCGCAUUAGUCAGCACCUUAUCGCAUUUUCUUAUACAUACUUACAAUACAAUACAAAAACGCUUUAUUGCUUUUUUUUUGGGACGUGACAUAUUGUAGAUUUUCCGCAGAUGGCAUUAACUACUUGGCCGGAACGCUUUACUGCACAUAUAAACACAACACUAAAAACAAUUACAAAUGUGACAGAAGUACAAACAGAAGUCUAGGCAACCUUAGCGUGAAUAAACUUGCUACAUAUUGGAGUAUACUUCUAUCCUUUUCUGUUACUAAAAACCGCCGUUAGCUAGAGCGAGAGACAGCGACCUCACUCUACCGUAUCGUCGAUUAUGCCGCGUGCUGUCGUUUGUCUCCCUCUAGCAAAAGACGCAUCUGAGUAACAGAAAGUGAUAGAAGUAUAAGAAAGUGCGAUGAAGAGGUUAAAUGUGGUCUGAUCUUAAAACGCUCCGCUUAUACGUAAUCGCACCCUAAGAAUCUCUCAAAUUUUAACACAAAAAAAAAUACAAAAUUUUUCGAGUAUUACAAAAAAACUAGUAACCUAAAUUAAUGUUGUACACCAUAUAAGUAUUUGUCAUAGCUGUUUUUACGGUUGGUGGAAAAAUAAAGAUGGAGUCAUUUUUAUUUUUUCUUCAGCCUUUAUAUUAGACGUCUCAACAUAUAGUUGAUGUGAUGUUGUCGUAUUGUAAAAUGUUAGCGUUCUUUCAUAUCACGAAGGCACUGGGUUUUACUUGUAGGGUGUCGGAAAUUGGGUCGUGUACUAGGUUCAAGAUAAGUUAUGAAAUUCUGAUUACUAAAUAAAGACAGAUCUAAGACUAACGAAAAACAUUUUCUUUUUUCUAUUUAAUUUAUUUAUGAAUUUUAAUCAAGAAAAACGUAAUAAUAAGUCCGACAUUCUAUCACGUUUUUCUAUGACGUCACAUUGUGCUUUUUCAUACAAAUUCCAUAGUCAUUUCGUGUUUAGACGUUUAGUAAAAAGUAACUGAUUUAACUAGUUAGAAACUAGUCUAUUCUUUAUAAUGUUUAAUAAAAUACACAUAUCCCCGUUUUCAAUUUAAUGAAAUAGGGUAAUUGUCUGAUGUCUAGCGUUCUGAAACUCAGCAGGAAAAAGGUACACUUAUAGAAUCCGAAAUUAUUCUGUUGUAUGUUUUUACGUAUUAUUUCCAAUUAGCAAAUUAAUUGCGACCUAUGUCGACGUUUGGAGACAGUAGUUUUUGAACAAUCCUUGUUCAUUUACGGCAGCAUGUACGGAACCCUCGGUGCGCGAGUGCGACUCGCGCUUGACUUGCUUUUUUAUUGCACAGUGAUGCCGGUUCCGGACAAAAAUAGUACCGUCCUUUACUAACGAUAAAUGUAAGAAAGAGACAGUGCUAUUUUUCGAACUGUCCAACUAAAAUUAAAUACAGGGCACAGUUGCUUUUUCAAGCAAAUUUAAAUUCAAAAAUAUGUUUAUUCAGUAGGUAACAUAGUUACACUUGAAUCGUCAAUUUCUAUAUGACGAACGUCUCAUCCGCCUAAAACUACUACCGCCUACAACCGCAAGAAUCAGAGGGGGUGAGAUCGGCACGGCGCCCGAAACGAAUUGGUUACCGUUCUACAUACAUACAUAAACAGCCUAUAUACGUCCCACUGCUGGGCACAGGCCUCCCCUCAAUCAACCGGAGGGGGUAUGGAGCAUAUUCCACCACGCUGCUCCAAUGCGGGUUGGUGGAGGUGUUUUUUACGGCUAAUAGCCGGGACCAACGGCUUAACGUGCCCUCCGAAGCACGGAAUCAUCUUACUUUUUCGGACAAUCAGGUGAUUCAAGCCUGAAAAGUCCUUACCAAACAAAGGACAGUCUCACAAAGUGAUUUCGACAAUGUCCCCAUCGGGAAUCGAACCUGGACCUCCAGAUUGUGAGCCUAACGCUCUAACCACUAGACCACAGAGGCUGUUACCCUUUAUUCUAAUACCCUG
rnacentral:misc_RNA from 1 species